rnacentral:rRNA from 1 species
GUGAGGAAUUUUCCGCAAUGGGCGAAAGCCUGACGGAGCAAUGCCGCGUGAAGGAUGAAGGCCUAUGGGUUGUAAACUUCUUUUCUCAGAAAAGAAUUAUGACGGUAUCUGAGGAAUAAGCAUCGGCUAACUCUGUGCCAGCAGCCGCGGUAAGACAGAGGAUGCAAGCGUUAUCCGGAAUGAUUGGGAGUAAAGCGUCUGUAGGUUGUUUAAAAAGUAUUCUGUCAAAGAUUAGGGCUUAACCCUAGAUAGGCAGAAUAAACUUUUAAGCUAGAGUUUGGUAGAGGCAGAGGGAAUUCCCGGUGGCGCGGUGAAAUGCGUAGAUAUCGGGAGGAACACCAAAGGCGAAGGCACACUGCUGGGCCAAUACUAACACUGAGAGACGAAAGCGAGGGGAGCAAAUGGGAUUAGAAACCCGGGUAGUCC